rnacentral:lncRNA from 1 species
CAGCAACAAGCAUUGACAAAAUAAUAUUGCACGUGAAUUCUAUUACACAUCUGUCCAUUUUAGCAUGUAAAGCAGCUGAAUCAGUAGCAGAUAAUGUGCUACUUUCAGGAAUACAGAAAAACAUGCAGUAAUUUUCGAUCUGGAUGUGUCUGUCUCUGUAUUCUUCAGUUACAUCGAAGAACAAGUCCCAGUCACCUCAUUACUAUGAGAUAAUGGAAUUUGAUCCCUUGGCUCCCACUGAAGCUAUUUAUGAAGAAAUUGAUGUUGUGCUGAAGACAGAAGUUAAAAAGAACACAGACUGAACGUGGGGGUGGAAUCCUUUCCUGAACACUCUCCAGUGCUGGUCCUGUGCAGUGCUUCCUGUAACUACAAGUGAAUAACAGAAGAGGUUUUGCAUUUUGACACAAUAAUUAGUGUUGGAGUACUAAGCUGUGUGCAAGUUGAGGAGUUACUUGGCUCCACAUCUUGACAAUUUGUCCUAAAUGUUCAGCUGUGUGUUCUUCAAGGUCACUUGCAUUGCUAUUUUAAAUUAUUUUGGGUGCCUGUAAAAUGUGACUUCCAAAUUCACCUGUGUCUGAAGUGACACUUGACACCUGGUACAAGUCUAAAAAGACACAUUACAUUCACAGAAACUGCAGAAUCCAGUUUCUUUUGGCCUCAGUGCAAUGUUAAUCUCCCUAGAAAUCUGUAAGGGGGUUUUGAGAUAUAUUUCUUUUUCCUAAAUUUGGCCUCUUAAUAGAUGUCUGAAGAUGUGCAGUGUUACUUUCCUACAUCCUUAAUACAGAUUUUUCCUUUAUUACUUUCUUCCUAAAAACCCACAGUAUAGUUGGGUUUUGUCUUGGAAAGAACCUAAGCUGGGACACAAAGUGGUGUCAUCAAUUUAACGGGGAAAAAAACUGCUUGUUCCUAUGUUGUUGUUGUUUUUAUUUACUCAGUAAAUAUUGGAGGGUGAUCAAUUGUUUCUUUCAGUAUUCCUGCCCUGCAGAUUGUUCUGGUGAAGGAAAAAUUAAUCAUCUACAAUGCAGAUGAGCAAUAGCUACCCAUUUACUUUAAUUAAGUAGUUCAAUCCUGUUAAUAACUGUUUUAUCUUUUAAUAAGUGCCUUAUCUAUUUUAAUGCU